CAGGGGGACAACAGCAGGAAACGGCCGCAAACACCGCACAAGCCCAAAGCACUGCAUGGUGCAUAGGGAAAAGGAGCAAUCCGGUACAGGAUGGACCCGCGUCUGAUUAGCCAGUUGGCAGGGUAACGGCCUACCAAAGCGACGAUCAGUAGCCGAUCUGAGAGGAUGUACGGCCACAUUGGGACUGAGACACGGCCCAGACUCCUACGGGAGGCAGCAGUGGGGAAUAUUGCACAAUGGAGGAAACUCUGAUGCAGCGACGCCGCGUGAGUGAAGAAGUAUUUCGGUAUGUAAAGCUCUAUCAGCAGGGAAGAAAAUGACGGUACCUGACUAAGAAGCACCGGCUAAAUACGUGCCAGCAGCCGCGGUAAUACGUAUGGUGCAAGCGUUAUCCGGAUUUACUGGGUGUAAAGGGAGCGUAGGUGGCAAGGCAAGCCAGAAGUGAAAACCCGGGGCUCAACCGCGGGAUUGCUUUUGGAACUGUCAUGCUAGAGUGCAGGAGGGGUGAGCGGAAUUCCUAGUGUAGCGGUGAAAUGCGUAGAUAUUAGGAGGAACACCGGAGGCGAAGGCGGCUCACUGGACUGUAACUGACACUGAGGCUCGAAAGCGUGGGGAGCAAACAAAAUUAGAUACCCUGGUAGUCCACGCGGUAAACGAUCCAUACAGAGUCGGGGUAGCAAAGCUAUUCGGUGUCUUCGCAAACGCAAUAAGUAUUCCACCUGGGGAGUACGUUGGCAAGAAUGAACUUCAAAGGAAUUGACGGGGACCCGCACAAGCGGUGGAGCAUGUGGUUUAAUUCGAAGCAACGCGAAGAACCUUACCUGCUCUUGACAUCCCAUUCGAUAGAGGGUAAUGCCUCUAGCCCUUCGGGGGAAUGGAGACAGGUGGUGCAUGGUUGUCGUCAGCUCGUGUCGUGAGAUGUUGGGUUAAGUCCCGCAACGAGCGCAACCCUUAUUGUCAGUAGCCAGCAGGUGAAGCUGGGCACUCUGAUGAGACUGCCGGGGAUAACCCGGAGGAAGGUGGGGAUGACGUCAAAUCAUCAUGCCCCUUAUGAGCAGGGCUACACACGUGCUACAAUGGCGUAAACAGAGGGAAGCGAAGGAGUGAUCUGGAGCAAAUCUCAAAAAUAACGUCUCAGUUCGGAUUGUAGUCUGUAACUCGACUACAUGAAGCUGGAAUCGCUAGUAAUCGCAGAUCAGAAUGCUGCGGUGAAUACGUUCCCGGGUCUUGUACA
rnacentral:rRNA from 1 species